rnacentral:rRNA from 1 species
GAUGAACGCUAGCGGCAAGCCUAACACAUGCAAGUCGAGGGGUAACUAGAGUGAUAGCAAUAUUACUUUGGCUAGACCGGCGCACGGGUGCGUAACACGUAUGCAACCUACCUUAUACUGGGGAGUAACUUCGAGAAAUCGGCGCUAAUACCCCAUAACACUGCGGAGAGGCAUCUCUUUGCAGUUAAAGCUCCGGCGGUAUAAGAUGGGCAUGCGUCCAAUUAGCUAGUUGGUGAGGUAACGGCUCACCAAGGCUACGAUUGGUAGGGGUUCUGAGAGGAUGAUCCCCCACACUGGUACUGAGACACGGACCAGACUCCUACGGGAGGCAGCAGUGAGGAAUAUUGCGCAAUGGACGAAAGUUGGACGCAGCCAUGCCGCGUGCAGGAUGACGGCCCUAUGGGUUGUAAACUGCUUUUGUACGGGAAUAAACCCUUCUACGUGUAGGAGGCUGAAGGUACCGUAAGAAUAAGCACCGGCUAACUCCGUGCCAGCCGCCGCGGUAA